ACCUCGUGUCGUGAGAUGUUGGGUUAAGUCCCGCAACGAGCGCAACCCUUGUCCUUAGUUACCAGCGGUUUGGCCGGGAACUCUAAGGAUACUGCCAGUGACAAACUGGAGGAAGGCGGGGACGACGUCAAGUCAUCAGUCGGCCUUACGACCGAGGCUACACACGUGCUACAAUGGUAGGUACAGGAGGGCAGCUACACAGCGAUGUGAUGCGAAUCUACAAAAGCCUAUCGUAGUCCAGAUUGGAGUCUGCAACUCGACUCCAUGAAGUAGGAAUCGCUAGUAAUCGCGGAUCAGAAUGCCGCGGUGAAUACGUUCCCGGGCUUGUACACACCGCCCGUCACACCAGUGGGAGUUGAUUGCACCAGAAGUGGUUAGCCUAACCUUUAGGAAGGCGAUCACACGGUGUGGUUGAUGACUGGGGUGAAGUCGGAACAAGGUAGCCGUAGGGGAACCUGCGGCUGGAUCACCUGUCGACGCGGCCG
rnacentral:rRNA from 1 species